GACGAACGCUGGCGGCGUGCUUAACACAUGCAAGUCGAACGGUGAAGCUCCAGCUUGCUGGUGUGGAUCAGUGGCGAACGGGUGAGUAACACGUGAGCAACCUGCCCCUGACUCUGGAAUAAGCGCUGGAAACGGCGUCUAAUACUGGAUACGAGAAGGGUCCGCAUGGGCACUUUCUGGAAAGUUUUUCGGUUGGGGAUGGGCUCGCGGCCUAUCAGCUUGUUGGUGAGGUAAUGGCUCACCAAGGCGACGACGGGUAGCCGGCCUGAGAGGGCGACCGGCCACACUGGGACUGAGACACGGCCCAGACUCCUACGGGAGGCAGCAGUGGGGAAUAUUGCACAAUGGGCGAAAGCCUGAUGCAGCGACGCCGCGUGAGGGAUGACGGCCUUCGGGUUGUAAACCGCUUUCGCCUGUGACGAAGCGUGAGUGACGGUAAUGGGUAAAGAAGCACCGGCUAACUACGUG
rnacentral:rRNA from 1 species